UACCAGCACCCCGAGUGGUCGGGACGAUUAUUGGGCCUAAAGCAUCCGUAGCCGGUCAUGCAAGUCCUCCGUUAAAUCCAGCCGCUCAACGGUUGGGCUGCGGAGGAUACUACGUGGCUAGGAGGCGGGAGAGGCAAGCGGUACUCAGUGGGUAGGGGUAAAAUCCUUUGAUCCAUUGAAGACCACCAGUGGCGAAGGCGGCUUGCCAGAACGCGCUCGACGGUGAGGGAUGAAAGCCGGGGGAGCAAACCGG
rnacentral:rRNA from 1 species